AGAGUUUGAUCCUGGCUCAGAUUGAACGCUGGCGGCAGGCCUAACACAUGCAAGUCGAGCGGUAGCACAGAGAGCUUGCUCUCGGGUGACGAGCGGCGGACGGGUGAGUAAUGUCUGGGAAACUGCCUGAUGGAGGGGGAUAACUACUGGAAACGGUAGCUAAUACCGCAUAACGUCGCAAGACCAAAGUGGGGGACCUUCGGGCCUCAUGCCAUCAGAUGUGCCCAGAUGGGAUUAGCUAGUAGGUGGGGUAAUGGCUCACCUAGGCGACGAUCCCUAGCUGGUCUGAGAGGAUGACCAGCCACACUGGAACUGAGACACGGUCCAGACUCCUACGGGAGGCAGCAGUGGGGAAUAUUGCACAAUGGGCGCAAGCCUGAUGCAGCCAUGCCGCGUGUAUGAAGAAGGCCUUCGGGUUGUAAAGUACUUUCAGCGAGGAGGAAGGCGUUAAGGUUAAUAACCUUGGCGAUUGACGUUACUCGCAGAAGAAGCACCGGCUAACUCCGUGCCAGCAGCCGCGGUAA
rnacentral:rRNA from 1 species